rnacentral:rRNA from 1 species
UACGGAGGAGGCAAGCGUUAUCCGGAAUUAUUGGGCGUAAAGCGUCCGCAGGUGGCACUUCAAGUCUGCUGUCAAAGACCGGGGCUUAACCCCAGAAAGGCAGUGGAAACUGAAGUGCUAGAGUGCAGUAGGGGGUAGAGGGAAUUCCCGGUGUAGCGGUGAAAUGCGUAGAUAUCGAGAGGAACACCUGCGGCGAAGGCGGGUUGCUGGGCUGAUGACUGACGCUGAGGCGCGAAAGCCAGGGGGAGCGAACAGG